UUUAUAUCAAAAAAAUAUACGAUAGAUGGAAGAACAAAUUAAACAGUAACGACUACAGAAAAUUGAAUACAUGCCUCAAAUUUCGUAGGCUGGUUGAAUAUAAAGAUAGAAGUUCUAUAACGGCGUCCUAAAAUGUUGAAUUUUAGGCUUCAAUUUGCAAUAUUCAAAUGCUGUCAUCUCCAAAACCACCCCUAUAAAUUCCCUCUUUGGAUUCAACAUUUUACAUAGCUCUAUGCUUCUUCUCAAUUGAAAUUUACUUCAAUUUUUUCCACAGUUCCUAAGUUUUUCCAAAGCAAACAUGGGUAUCUCCAAGUUUCUCCACGAGUAUAAAACUAAGGUUGCUCCCCACAGGAUGUUCAAGACUAUGUUUACAGAAUCCCAUAACGUUUUACCAAAAGUCACCCCGUACAUCAAGAGCGUUGAGAUCAUUAAAGGUGACGGUGGUGCUGGAAGCAUCUAUAAGAUGACCUAUCCAGAAGGUUAGUGAUAUUUCUAAAUUCAUUUUCAAUCACACGUUCUCCUAAUAAAAUAAUUUAUACUCAAACUUGGAACUUUUUUCAACUUUUUAACCACACAUUCUUUAGAAAAAUCACUAUUACAAUAUUCAUUCUUUUGAAAAAGGGGACUCAAACAAGGACUUAAUUUUGUUCAAUGUUCCAAUAUGGCGUGCUAAGCACGUCAGAAGUUUGUUUUCUCUACACCAUGAGCUGACGAGCUUAUGUGUUAUUUGGCAGGUGAUCACCUCAGACAUGAGUGUCACAAGAUUAACGUUAUCGACCCUGUGAACUAUGUAACAAAUUAUACUUUGGUUGAGGGAGAUGUACUUGGAGACAAGAUCGAGUCACUUGUUCACGAGGUGAAAUUCGAGCACUCUGAGGAUGGAGGAUGUGUCGUCAAGCAAACCAGUGAGUAUCAUACCAAGGGUGAUUUUGAACUCAAAGAGGAGGACAUUAAAGCACGCAAAGAACAAGCUGAGGGACUCUUCAAGGCUUGUGAAGAGUACCUUAGUGCCAAUCCUCACGUUUGUGCCUAAAUAAUUUCAUGAUAUGCCUUGACUUUGUCAAAAUGUAAUGGAAAGAUGUAUGCUUUCCAAAAUCUAUAAUUCAGCAUGAGUGGUUUUUUUCUUAAUAAAGAACUUUGUUCUAUGUUUCGAGUGAAAUUUGUUCGUCUUCAGCUAUCAUCA
rnacentral:lncRNA from 1 species